rnacentral:rRNA from 1 species
ACGGGAGGCAGCAGUGGGGAAUAUUGGACAAUGGGGGAAACCCUGAUCCAGCGACGCCGCGUGAGUGAAGAAGUAUUUCGGUAUGUAAAGCUCUAUCAGCAGGGAAGAUAAUGACGGUACCUGACUAAGAAGCUCCGGCUAAAUACGUGCCAGCAGCCGCGGUAAUACGUAUGGAGCAAGCGUUAUCCGGAUUUACUGGGUGUAAAGGGUGCGUAGGUGGCAUGGUAAGUCAGAUGUGAAAUACCGGGGCUCAACCCCGGAGCUGCAUUUGAAACUGCCAGGCUGGAGUGCAGGAGAGGCAAGCGGAAUUCCUAGUGUAGCGGUGAAAUGCGUAGAUAUUAGGAGGAACACCAGUGGCGAAGGCGGCUUGCUGGACUGUUACUGACACUGAGGCACGAAAGCGUGGGGAGCAAACAGGAUUAGAUACCCUGGUA